UACGGAGGAUGCAAGCGUUAUCCGGAAUGAUUGGGCGUAAAGGGUCCGCAGGUGGCAAUGUAAGUCUGCUGUCAAAGAAUGAGGCUUAACCUCAUCAAGGCAGUGGAAACUACAUAGCUAGAGUACGGUCGGGGUAGAAGGAAUUCCUGGUGUAGCGGUGAAAUGCGCAGAUAUCAGGAAGAACACCCGUGGCGAAGGCGGCUCUCUGGGACGGUACUGACGCUGAGGAGCGAAAGCGUGGGGAGCGAACAGG
rnacentral:rRNA from 1 species